rnacentral:misc_RNA from 1 species
UCACGCCUUACGGCGGCAGUUUCACUAGAGUUCCCAGCUUUACCUGUUGGCAACUAUUGAUAAGGGUUGCGCUCGUUGCGGGACUUAACCCAACAUCUCACGACACGAGCUGACGACAGCCACGCAGCACCUUGCACUCUGUUUGGUUUACCCAAAAGGCCUGAUCUCUCAGGUUGUCAGAGGCAUACUAGCCCAGGUAAGGUUCUUCGCGUUGCGUCGAAUUAAACCACAUGCUCCACCGCUUGUGCGGGCCCCCGUCAAUUCCUUUGAGUUUUAAUCUUGCGACCGUACUCCCCAGGCGGAAUGCUUAAAGCGUUAGCUGCGCCACUAGUGAGUAAACCCACUAACGGCUGGCAUUCAUCGUUUACGGCGUGGACUAC